rnacentral:rRNA from 1 species
AUUGAACGCUGGCGGCAUGCCUUACACAUGCAAGUCGAACGGCAGCGCGGGAGCAAUCCUGGCGGCGAGUGGCGAACGGGUGAGUAAUAUAUCGGAACGUGCCCAGUAGUGGGGGAUAGCCGGCGAAAGCCGGAUUAAUACCGCAUGAGACCUGAGGGUGAAAGCGGGGGAGUCGCAAGACCUCGCGCUAUUGGAGCGGCCGAUAUCAGAUUAGCUAGUUGGUGGGGUAAAGGCCUACCAAGGCAACGAUCUGUAGUUGGUCUGAGAGGACGACCAGCCACACUGGGACUGAGACACGGCCCAGACUCCUACGGGAGGCAGCAGUGGGGAAUUUUGGACAAUGGGCGCAAGCCUGAUCCAGCAAUGCCGCGUGCAGGAAGAAGGCCU